ACUCUGCCCAGUUGAAAUGAGAGUACAGUAGAUGAAUCACUAAUACUACUUUUGCUCUGCGUAUCUUUAAAUUUUCAGAUGAAAGUGUAGAUGCCAAGGAAGUAUCAUCACUUUCCCUGCUCGCUUCGUCCUCAUAAUUCCUUGCAGGUUUUGGCAUUGUAUUGUUAGUUUCAAGAAUCGAGUAGUAAUGGAAGGCUGUGACCUCUCUAAUGUCUCAGUCGUGGAUAAUGCUCUCUCGCUCCAAAACAAAAUUGCUGCAAUUCGCAGGGCUGGUCCUUCCAAGCUACAGGUAAUUGCGGAUUUUGAUGGAACACUAACCAAGUACAUGGUGAACGGCCGCCGCGGCCAAAGCAGUCAUGGCCUUUUGCGGCAGGAAAAUCCUGAGUUUGAUGCUAAGAGGAAGGCAUUGUAUGAAUACUAUCAUCCUUUAGAAUUUUCCCCAACUAUUCCCAUCCAGGAGAAAACCAAGCUCAUGGAAGAAUGGUGGGGAAAAACUCAUAAUCUUCUUAUUGAGGGAGGCCUUACAUAUGAUGCAAUUAGGGAAUCUGUUGCUAAUUCUGCUAUUACUUUUAGGGAGGGUGUCGUUGAACUAUUUGAGUUUCUGGAGGAAAGGGACAUUCCUGUUCUUAUAUUUUCAGCAGGGCUUGCAGAUAUCAUAGAGGAGGUCUUGAGGCAGAAAGUUCACAGAUCUUUUAGAAAUGUCAAGAUUGUCUCUAACCGAAUGAUAUUUGAUGAUGAUGGUCGACUCAUUUCAUUUAAAGGGAAGUUGAUUCAUAGUCUAAAUAAAAAUGAACAUGCUCUUGAUAUGGCUGCUCCUGUUCAUGAACAUCUUGGUGAUGUUGAUGGGGUAAUCGAUGACAGUGCCUCAGUGAAGAAGAGAACCAAUGUACUGCUUCUUGGUGAUCACCUGGGUGACUUGGGAAUGUCUGAUGGUUUGGACUAUGAGACUUCAAUUUCUGUGGGGUUUCUGUAAGUCUGUAACACUGCUUAAUCUUCAUAUUUAAUAAUUGCAUAUUUUGCCCCCCAUGGGCUUAAUAUUUUAUUUGGAACACCAGCAUUUAGUUUUAUGGUAUUCAAAAUAUGAGGUGGUUAAAAAAGGUUGGUUAAGUGUUGAAAACUCCCAAAGUUCCUUUUGGUAUGGAAGAGAAGAAACAAGGAAGGUUAGUGAUGGGUGGGGAUGAUGCUAACUUUGGAAAAAUAUAGGCAGUCUGGUUAUAAAAGAGUCAAGUCUGUGAUUGCUUGGAGCUCUGCUGGGAAUUUGAGGACUGCAUUGCUGUUGGAAGUUGUAAUAGAUAAGCGAUUGACUUCCUAUAAUUCCUUGUAACCCUCAACUCCUAUAAUAUACAAUAAUUGUCUGAGGCUAGGUUCCCCUCUCCCAUCUUUUUUUAUUCUGCAGAAGUAGCAGAUCUUGAUCCCUUAACGGAUGCCAUGGACAUUUCUGUCAAUGUAUACUUAUAUGUAGUCAAUGAUCUGAAGAUAACUAGUAAUGGAAGAUUUUUAUUGCUUUGAUGUACUUGGACUGCAAAAUACUUUGGGAAUAAGGAAAGCACUUGAUAUGUAGUGAAGAUCAUUUCAUGAAAUUGUCAAAUUUUGCAUGCAAAGUACUCAAACUGUAUACCAAAAGGAGGGUGAAAAAGGUAAUGAAUGUUUACAGCUAGGCUGAGAUGGAAAAAGAACAUAUCCUGUUAAGUACAGGAAAGGCAUAAGAUCGAAUAUAGUUAUUGCCUCGUGCCUUUUGCUUCUGAUUAAUUGUUUUGGAUUGUUAGAUAUCAAACUAGAGACUCCUUAUUGAAUGUCUUGAUUUGUAAUUAUAUUAUUGCUGAACUUGCUGGUUGACAGUGAAAGAGAGUUCUAAACUAUGACCUUUAAUAAUGAUAUUAUUCAAGUGAUGGGCAUAGUGAGGAUGAAUCUUGUCAAGAUUGUAGAGCAAAUGUACAAGUCCCAAUGUCCCAUCAAGAAAGAAAGAAAUCUUGUUCCAGUAUUCCAUGUACAAGUCCUAAUGUAUCUUUGUAUAUCUUGCAGUAAAAUAGCAUUGGACAUCUAUUGACAAUGGGUAUUAAGAUGUGGUGAAGCCGUUGUAUUUGUCAUAUAGGGUUACCAUGAACAGCAAGUGAUGGUUGUUGCAUUAGUAGUUUGUGAGAUGUACCGAGGCUAGAUUCUGGAAUGAUUUUUGAAUACAAAUUGUAGUGAGUAUUUAUAUUGCAGUUAACGACAACGUUCAUACUUUCUAGUGUUUAGUAUAAUUAUGUCUUAUUUUCUUACUUGAUUUUCCAUCCAUCUAUCUCAUGUGCAUGUUAUCAUAAAUACACUUUAUGGCUUUGAAUUGUGAUAUGAAUGGGAGAAAUUGGUUCAAUAACUAACCUAACUUGAAAAUGGCCAAUUGUAUAUUUAGUAGAGCCCUACCCUGGUUGACCUUUGUUAAUAUGACUUUGAUGGUUUAGGGAUAGAGAUAAUUCCAGAAUAUGAUAAUUAGUGAUUUAUUAUUAUUAUUUUUUAAUGUGUUGUCCAUAUGUUAAUUAAUGAAUUACCUCAUGCUCUGUUUCAGGAAUGACAAUAUUGAGAACAAUCUUGCUAGCUAUCGCAAAGCCUUUGAUGUUGUUUAUCUGGUGAUACUCGUAAGCUAGACUAGAAAAAAUAUGAUAUUUCAUUUCUUGCAAAGUUAAUUAAUCCAUCUAUAUGUCAAUUUUGAUAAUGACGAAAUCCUCUAAGGAGGUAAAGUUUGCAUGAGAGCAUAGUUUUGGUAGAGAUAAGUGGUGGUGAGUUUGACAUAUUUUAGGUGAAAACUUAAUCCUUAUUUAUGAUAAUACUACUGAUUUCAAGAUAAAUUGUUUCAAACAGAAUGAUGCACCAAUGUGGGGUGUAGUCAAGCUUGCUUCUGAGCUGUGUUCAACUGUAUCUGCUUGAGUUCCUUGUCAAUAAAUGGUAAAAAUUUUCAGCAAGUCUCCAGCUUUGGUCAAGUAAGAUCAUGAGCUGCACAGAUAACCUGAUCUUUCUCCUGGAAGUGCAUGCAUUCCACAGAAUUCACAGCAAAUAAUUCUCAUAUCUUAAGGUCGAGCAAUGGCAGUGGAUUGUGCUCAUUGUUUUAUUGAAAUAUCCAAGAUAAUGUAUAUGUAGUCCUUUUUUUUUGUCAAUAGAUAAUAUAUAUGUAGUUCAUUUAAGCCUGCAGAAAUUAGAUUAUGGUAUAUGGUAAUGUAUGUUAUAGACCUAUUUAUUAAAGGUGGAAUUUAUUCAUUUAUAUGUUUUGACCAAA
rnacentral:misc_RNA from 1 species